UGCAUAUCAAAAAAGCGGAGGAAAAGAAACCAACAGGGAUUGCCUUAGUAGCGGCGAGUGAACAGGCAAGAGCUCAGAUUUGAAAGCCUUUCGGGGCAUUGUAUUCUGAAGCCUUGGUCCUGGGAAACCGAUGUCUAAGUCUUCUGGAAAGGAGCGCCAUGGAGGGUGAUAGCCCCGUACGACAUUGACCCCACUGUAGGACCUUGGCAUGGAGUCGAGUUGUUUGGGAAUGCAGCUCAAAUGGGUGGUAUGCUCCAUCUAAAGCUAAAUAUCUGCGAGAGACCGAUAGCGAACAAGUACUGUGAAGGAAAGAUGAAAAGAACUUUGAAAAGAGAGUGAAAAAGUACGUGAAAUUGUUGAAAUGGAAGGGUAGGCCGCUAACCACGUAGAGUCGUGUUUGGGGGGAAGAUAAAAGCUGAAGAAUGUAACUCCUUGGAGUAUUAUAGCUUCAGUCCAUAUUCCCACCCGAGCGCGAGGACUUAAGACUCUGCUAAAUGGUGGUCUACCACCCGUCUUGACCCCCGGACCA
rnacentral:rRNA from 1 species